CAGAUCAAUCAAUGGAUAUAUCAGGUACCUUUCAAUAUAACACGGUUGUUUGCAUGUUUAUCAUGUUUCUUUAUAGACUUUUUUCGUUUGUUCCACAAUUAGAGACUGUACAUGCUAAAGUUCAAAGGAUAUUAGUUUAAAAGAAGAAUCAACGAGGAACUCAAAUUUCUAGUCAAACUUAAGCCUAAUGGACCACAAUUAGCUAGAAAUUAUAAAUUCAUUUCUUUUAGUAAAGUUUGGAAAAUUCUGAAUGUAUGAGUUUAGAAAAAUCAACAAAUCAUCUGUGUUAUAAAUUCUCAUAGUUUUAACUACAAGUCAUGAUUGGUAAAGAGUAGGCUAUAUACUUGGAACUCUAUCUGCUUGUGGAACUUCAGGGAAUCUGUAGAAGAGUAGUUCUUUGGUUUACACACAUAAUUUUUCCUCAUAAAGAUCAAGUUUCAUGUUACCCUAAAUUAAUAUUGCUUUGUACAUGUGUGGCGUGCAGAUCACCAGAUUAUACAAGGG
rnacentral:misc_RNA from 1 species